UUGCUUCACCAGCACAUAUACCAAAAUUGGAACAAAUUAGAGAAAAUGAGAAUGGCUCUUGUGCAGAAAUGACAAGCACAUUUGUGAAAUGUUAAAAAAAAAA